rnacentral:rRNA from 1 species
AGUUUGAUCCUGGCUCAGAUUGAACGCUGGCGGCAGGCCUAACACAUGCAAGUCGAGCGGUAGCACAGAGAGCUUGCUCUCGGGUGACGAGCGGCGGACGGGUGAGUAAUGUCUGGGAAACUGCCUGAUGGAGGGGGAUAACUACUGGAAACGGUAGCUAAUACCGCAUAAUGUCGCAAGACCAAAGUGGGGGACCUUCGGGCCUCAUGCCAUCAGAUGUGCCCAGAUGGGAUUAGCUAGUAGGUGGGGUAACGGCUCACCUAGGCGACGAUCCCUAGCUGGUCUGAGAGGAUGACCAGCCACACUGGAACUGAGACACGGUCCAGACUCCUACGGGAGCAGCAGUGGGGAAUAUUGCACAAUGGGCGCAAGCCUGAUGCAGCCAUGCCGCGUGUGUGAAGAAGGCCUUCGGGUUGUAAAGCACUUUCAGCGGGGAGGAAGGCGUUAAGGUUAAUAACCUUGGCGAUUGACGUUACCCGCAGAAGAAGCACCGGCUAACUCCGUGCCAGCAGCCGCGGUAAUACGGAGGGUGCAAGCGUUAAUCGGAAUUACUGGGCGUAAAGCGCACGCAGGCGGUCUGUCAAGUCGGAUGUGAAAUCCCCGGGCUUAACCUGGGAACUGCAUUCGAAACUGGCAGGCUAGAGUCUUGUAGAGGGGGGUAGAAUUCCAGGUGUAGCGGUGAAAUGCGUAGAGAUCUGGAGGAAUACCGGUGGCGAAGGCGGCCCCCUGGACAAAGACUGACGCUCAGGUGCGAAAGCGUGGGGAGCAAACAGGAUUAGAUACCCUGGUAGUCCACGCCGUAAACGAUGUCGAUUUGGAGGUUGUGCCCUUGAGGCGUGGCUUCCGGAGCUAACGCGUUAAAUCGACCGCCUGGGGAGUACGGCCGCAAGGUUAAAACUCAAAUGAAUUGACGGGGGCCCGCACAAGCGGUGGAGCAUGGGUUUAAUUCGAUGCAACGGGAGACCUUACUGUUUUGACAUCCACAGAAUUUCCAGAGAUGGAUUGGUGCCUUCGGGAACUGUGAGACAGGUGAUGCAUGGCUGUCGUCAGCUCGUGUUGUGAAAUGUUGGGUUAAGUCCCGCAACGAGCGCAACCUUAUCCUUUGUUGCCAGCGGUUCGGCCGGGAACUCAAAGGAGAUUGCCAGUGAUAAACUGGAGGAAGGUGGGGAUGACGUCAAGUCAUCAUGGCCCUUACGACCAGGGCUACACACGUGCUACAAUGGCAUAUACAAAGAGAAGCGACCUCGCGAGAGCAAGCGGACCUCAUAAAGUAUGUCGUAGUCCGGAUUGGAGUUUGCAACUCGACUCCAUGAAGUCGGAAUCGCUAGUACUCGUAGAUCAGAAUGCCUACGGUGAAUACGUU